rnacentral:misc_RNA from 1 species
GAAAUGCGAUAAGUAAUGUGAAUUGCAGAAUUCAGUGAAUCAUCGAAUCUUUGAACGCACAUUGCGCCCGCCAGUAUUCUGGCGGGCAUGCCUGUUUGAGGGUCGCCAAAUAAACAUCGAUUAACGUUGCUUUUUGAAGUGAAUGUUUAUCGGAUUUGAGCUUUCUUUAUCCUUAUAAAGUGGCUUAAAAUUUAUUUUUUGGUAUCAUCGAAAGCGUAUUUUACGAUCAAUUUUUGAUUAAAAAGGACGUUUCGAAUACCAUCCUUCAAUGUAAUACGUUUGACUAUACGUAAAAAAUAUAGUUCAUUCGUAUACGAUUAAUUUUUUUUUGACCUCAAAUCAGGUAAGAGUACCCGCUGAACUUAAGC